UAAAGAUUUCAUAUUCCAAUACAUUGUUAGUCUCUCUAAGUGUUGGCAUUUCAAGAUAGAGAUACUAAUUAAGUCAGUUGGCUUACUAACUAUUACACAUAGCAAACAAUAUGCAUAGUAAUAAUAGGUUUGAAACAGCAGAGAAAAUAAUAACAAAAAAGAAGAUUAGUAAGUUACAAAUUUAAUUAAUUAAAUGGAAAAAAAUUAAAAUACACCUAAAAAUUUUAAAUUAGGGGCCAUACAUAUAAGAAGAAUAUGAGUAGAGUGAACACAACAUA
rnacentral:misc_RNA from 1 species